UUUAAUAGAAUUAUAUUAGACCGACUUUCACCCCGCUGCACACACAAGCGGUCACAGCCUUGGUAACUGCACCCUCAUAGUAGCAGCACACGUGCACACCCUCGCCUCAGCGCGGCUCUUCAGGGCGUCAGCGUACGAAUGAUUAGAUACAUGAAAAGAUUUAACUGUGCCUCACGCUGGCCACUCGCGAGCCGCGAUGGCAGUGACGCGGCUCGCGGCAGCCAUUCACGGCGCUCCACCCCAAGGCUACGCCGCGGCCCCUAGUGUCAGUGCGGGGCAGUACGUGGGGUGAGUACUGAGCAGCGUUUAGGUAUAUGCAGGGUGCCGGGCAGGGAGUGUAGCACGUUAACCCUUGGGGCCAGCCAGCAGGAGGAACAGUGCCCACCGAGCAGAGAGUACCGCAGCGGCUCAACACGUAUUGAGUGCCUUGAGGAGGUGCGGGCGUGACCUUCUGUUCUGUUGUGGACUUUUCUCCCUGACACCAUGUUAAGCCAAGGCAACAUAAGUUCUGCAGGGAAUUGUGAGCGGCGCAACGCCAUCCCUGUCAUCUACACCAGCGGAACAUACUAUGAAGUGGGCUUUGAUGUGGGACGCACCUUCCGGGGCCUCAUCCAGGAUUAUCUGGCGUCGUCCGUGUGGCUCCGGGAAACACUUCUUCCAGCUUAUGAGACAGAGGCUGGGCGGGCCGCCUAUGACGAAACCCUUCCAGUCUUGAAGGAGAACUUUCCACAGUACCUCAGGGAACUGCAGGGCACGGCAGAUGGGGCUCAAGUUCCCUUCCUCCACCUGGUCCUGCUGCACAUGGACAGGAUCAUGACCAUGGCGGGCCAGGCGGAGCAGCAGCCGUGCAGCAGUGACCUCAACGGCUGUUCCGACCUCAGCAUCAACGGGGAAGACCAGGUGUUGCUGGGCCACACAGAGGACACAUUCGAGGAGAUGAUGAACUACCUGUACCUCGUGUCCGCCACCAUCAGCGAGGAGGCGCCGGAGGGGAGGUUGGGCACGCGGACAGAGAGCUUCACGGCACUCUGCUACCCCGGACACCUGCCGGGCUUCUGCCUCGGCUACAACCGCCACGGCUUGGUCUCCGCCAUCAAUGUUAUCGUCCCUCUGAAGGUCUUCCCCGCCAGGACCCCGCGUCAUUUCCUGUGCCGGGCGCUGCUGAGCGCCACGUCCGUGGAGGCGGCGCACGACAUCCUGAGGGACCGCGGGACUGGAGGAGCCGACGGCUUUGGCGUCAACAUGAUCUUCAUGAGGCCGGAUGGUGGUCACGUCUUCCAGAACGUGGAGGUGGGGACGGCCGGGGCUGGGGAUGAGAACCCGCUGUCCAUUGUGACGCUGAGUGUCGGCGAACACUACUUCCACGCCAACAGCCCAACUACGAAUCUGCUGGCCUGGGUUUGAAUCCUGGCCUGGGCAGUCGGCAGCAGCCCACCCAGCUGUUCAUCCUUCCUCUUGGGCUAGCCGAUAAAUGGUUACCUGGGGAAACCUGAGGAAGGUAAACUGUGAUAACCCAGAAGUUGCACUGGCCCUGCGUCCUGGGGUGAUGGGUUCACACCCACCACAGCCUCAAGGGUCAGUGGUACGGAGAUGAUCACCGAGGCCACGUGCAACUAUAGUGUACCUUCACCUGACAGGCAUCCCGGAGAAGAGUGGUCCUCCCCAGGCCAGCAGCGAGCACCGAGAGGUCCGCGCAAGCCAGUUCCCGGCCCCCAAGAACCUGGCGGAUCUGCUGGAGGUGCUCUCAGACACCAAAGACCC